rnacentral:rRNA from 1 species
UACGUAGGGGGCAAGCGUUGUCCGGAUUUAUUGGGCGUAAAGAGCGUGUAGGCGGCCUUACAGGUCAGCUGUGAAAACUCGAGGCUCAACCUCGAGACGUCGGUUGAAACCGUAAGGCUAGAGUCCGGAAGAGGAGAGUGGAAUUCCAGGUGUAGCGGUGAAAUGCGUAGAUAUCUGGAGGAACACCGGUGGCGAAGGCGGCAUCCUGGACCAAUACUGACGCUGAGGAGCGAAAGCCAGGGGAGCAAACGGG